ACAGCCGGGGUUUUACCCUCAAGUUUCGUAUUUACAAAACAAUCUAUAAAAAUAAUAAAAAUGGGCACAAAGCAGUAUUUCAUUAACAAGAAGUAACGAACUCCCAGCGGUUCAAAGAGUUUACCUUAGGACUUCCAUCUGAUUAAAAAGCAGAUAAUUGAAAAAUGAACUCCCGCCAGCUGUACGAAUGUAGAUGUAUAUUGCUGAUAUGAACACACCUACAAUCAUAUCGACAGAAAGCGUAUUGAAACGCCGAAAUACUGUGGAAUGGUGGUACUUCGGCCCAGUCAUACUGGCUGUAGUUAUGUUCCUUCUGAUGGGCACUAUCUUUGAACGAAGAAUUGAAGCGUUUUAUCGGAGAAUUU